AUGGCCAUGGGCGCGGGGAGCAAGCAGCCAAGAUCAUUAGCCGUCUGCUGGUAUGCGGCGAGGCACCGUUCCUUCACUCUGAUAGUGUGGUGUCUAACGGCAUUGAUCGUGCUUGUUAUUUUCUACCUCUUCAUCAACCAUAAGGAGGAACAGAUUGUGAGAGGGAUAGAUGAGGUGGAGGAGGAAACUUUCCCGGUGAAGCUGGCCCGGAGCUGGAGGAAUCCACCGGCUGUGCGGGGCAAGGGGGAGCACAGGACACUACCUGUGGUGGACGAGUUCUUGGUCGAGUCUUCUGCGGUGCAUCAUACGUUCUUCCAGAAAGGGAAGGUGGCCAUGGAUCCAGUCAACAGUGGGAAUGACAGGAGGUACUUAUACUACCCAGGGAGGGUUUGGCUUGACACUGAUGGAAAGCCGAUCCAAGCUCAUGGUGGUGGUGUGAUGUAUGAUGAGGAAACCAAGACCUACUUUUGGUAUGGAGAGAAUAAGGAUGGCAAGACCUACAAAGCUCAUGACAAGGGACCUGAUCGGGUUGACAUUGUUGGAGUAAGUUGCUAUUCUUCAACGGACCUCUGGUCUUGGACAAAUGAAGGAGUUGUGCUCCACGGAGAGGAAGAGAAUUUAUCGCAUGACCUCCACAAAUCCAAUGUCCUGGAGAGGCCGAAGGUGAUUUAUAACAACCGGACCGGCAAAUACGUGAUGUGGAUGCACAUAGACGAUGCCAACUACACGAAAUCCUCAAUCGGCGUGGCGACGAGUGCUUCUCCCACAGGACCAUUCACUUACCUCUACAGCAAGCGCCCACACAACUGUGAAAGCAGAGACAUGACCAUUUUCAAGGAUGACGACGGGAAGGCCUACCUGAUAUAUUCAUCCAAGGGCAACAGCGAGCUCCACAUUGCGCGGUUAACCGACGACUACCUCAACGUGCCCAAGGACGUGCCAAGAAUUCUCGUCGCACGAUAUCGAGAAGCCCCCGCACUCUUCAAGUUCGGCGGCACCUACUACAUGAUAACCUCGGGUUGCACGGGCUGGGCACCGAACACUGCAAACGCUCAUGCGGCGGCAUCGAUUAUGGGACCUUGGGAGACCCUGGGAAACCCUUUCCUCGGAGGGAAUGAGAUAUACAGAUCGACAACGUUCUUCUCCCAGGGUACAUUUGUGUUGCCAGUUGCAGGAUUGCCGGGUCUGUUCAUCUUCAUGGCCGACCGGUGGAAACCGUCAGAUCUGAGAGAUUCGAGGUACGUGUGGCUGCCUUUGAGGGUAGGUGGACUUCCCGAUGAGGCGGCAGAUUACAGCUUCAUGUUCCCGCUCUGGUCCAGGGUGUCGAUUUACUGGCACAAAGUGUGGCGCCUUCCUAAGCAAAGUUACCGAGCGACUUAG
rnacentral:rRNA from 1 species